rnacentral:sRNA from 1 species
GGAUGUGAGGGUGAUCUGGCUGCGACAUCUGUCACCUCAUUAAUCACCAGGGUUGAUUCGGCUGAUCUGGCUGGCUAGGCAUGUGUUCCCUUCCUCCCUCUACACUCCAUGUGCAUCCCUCAUGAAGCUGCGUGCUCAGUCAAAGAGGGCGACCAUGCCCCGCUAGAGGAGGACCAGUCUUCCGUCCAAGGGUGUAUGAGUAGCUAGAACCUCCAAACAAGCNNNNNNN